rnacentral:rRNA from 1 species
UGGGGAAUUUUGGACAAUGGGCGCAAGCCUGAUCCAGCCAUGCCGCGUGAGUGAAGAAGGCCUUCGGGUUGUAAAGCUCUUUCGGACGGGAAGAAAUGGCGGGCUCCAACAUAGCCUGUCGAUGACGGUACCGUAAGAAGAAGCACCGGCUAACUACGUGCCAGCAGCCGCGGUAAUACGUAGGGUGCGAGCGUUAAUCGGAAUUACUGGGCGUAAAGCGUGCGCAGGCGGUUUUGUAAGACAGAUGUGAAAUCCCCGGGCUUAACCUGGGAACUGCGUUUGUGACUGCAAGGCUGGAGUACGGCAGAGGGGGGUGGAAUUCCACGUGUAGCAGUGAAAUGCGUAGAGAUGUGGAGGAACACCGAUGGCGAAGGCAGCCCCCUGGGCCUGUACUGACGCUCAUGCACGAAAGCGUG